UACAGAGGGUGCAAGCGUUGUUCGGAAUUACUGGGCGUAAAGCGUGCGUAGGUGGUUUCUUAAGUCUGCUGUGAAAGCCCCGGGCUCAACCUGGGAAUUGCAGUGGAUACUGGGGAGCUAGAGUGCGGUAGAGGGUAGUGGAAUUCCCGGUGUAGCGGUGAAAUGCGUAGAGAUCGGGAGGAACACCAGUGGCGAAGGCGGCUACCUGGACCAGCACUGACACUGAGGCACGAAAGCGUGGGGAGCAAACAGG
rnacentral:rRNA from 1 species